rnacentral:rRNA from 1 species
GAUGAACGCUGGCGGCGUGCCUAAUACAUGCAAGUCGAGCGAACAGAUGAGGAGCUUGCUCCUCUGACGUUAGCGGCGGGCGGGUGAGUAACACGUGGAUAACCUACCUAUAAGACUGGGAUAACUUCAGGAAACCGGAGCUAAUACCGGAUAAUAUAUUGAACCGCAGGGUUCAAUAGUGAAAGACGGAUUUGCUGUCACUUAUAGAUGGAUCCGCGCCGCAUUAGCUAGUUGGUAAGGUAACGGCUUACCAAGGCAACGAUGCGUAGCCGACCUGAGAGGGCGAUCGGCCACACUGGAACUGAGACACGGUCCAGACUCCUACGGGAGGCAGCAGUAGGGAAUUUUGCACAAUGGGCGCAAGCCUGAUGCAGCCACGCCGCGUGAGUGAUGAAGGUCUUCGGAUCGUAAAACGCUUUUAUUAGGGAAGAACAAAUGUGUAAGUAUCUAUGCGCGUCUUGACGGUACCGGAUCAGAAAGCCACGGCUAACUACGUG